rnacentral:lncRNA from 1 species
AAAAAUUCCACUUUUUAUCUCCAGGCAGAUACCAGAGUUAAGAGUCAUGUAGGAGGAAGAAAAACUGGCAGAAGAUCUAGAUAUGAAGAUUGCUUCGUUCUGUGAGUGAAGACAGAACUUGCAUUCCUGAGUACAGGAAGAUUCUCAGAGCAAAGCUUGAUGGCAGAAGUUGGUUCAAUCUGGCUGGAGAAAUGUUUAACAAGAGUCCCGGGCUGGUGACUGAGUUUUCACAAAUUCAAGCUGGGAAAAAUGUGACAAUUUUCAUUAGGAAAGACUCGAGUGAUGGGUCUAUAGAAAUUGAAGAAAUCGGGCUCAUGCUGUGCACCUGGUUAGAGUGCUGCUCUUCUCUUUGGACAGGUGAGUACUAGUGAUAUAUGUCCUUAGGCAGUCACUGUGGGCUCGUGAUGUGGCCUGAUUUUCUUCUUCCAAAAUAAACACCUAACUCUGUUGCAGACUGCAGA